rnacentral:rRNA from 1 species
UUCCUACGGGACGCAGCAGUGGGGAAUAUUGCACAAUGGGGGAAACCCUGAUGCAGCAACGCCGCGUGAAGGAAGACGGUUUUCGGAUUGUAAACUUCUGUUCUUAGUGAAGAAUAAUGACGGUAGCUAAGGAGCAAGCCACGGCUAACUACGUGCCAGCAGCCGCGGUAAUACGUAGGUGGCAAGCGUUGUCCGGAAUUACUGGGUGUAAAGGGAGCGUAGACGGUUAAGUAAGUCUGGAGUGAAAGGCCGGGGCCCAACCCCGGGACUGCUCUGGAAACUAUUGAACUUGAGUGCAGGAGAGG